rnacentral:rRNA from 1 species
AGAGUUUGAUCCUGGCUCAGAACGAACGCUGGCGGCAUGCCUAACACAUGCAAGUCGAACGAAGUAGCAAUACUUAGUGGCAGACGGGUGAGUAACACGUAGUCAACCUACCUCAGCGUGGGGGAUAACUAGCCGAAAGGUUAGCUAAUACCGCAUACGAUCGCCGAGUGGCAUCACACGGCGAUGAAAGGAGCAAUCCGCGCAGAGAGGGGACUGCGUCCCAUUAGUUAGUUGGUGGGGUAAUGGCCUACCAAGACUCCGAUGGGUAGCUGGCUUGAGAGAGCGACCAGCCACACUGGAACUGAGACACGGUCCAGACUCCUACGGGAGGCAGCAGUGAGGAAUUUUCCGCAAUGGGGGAAACCCUGACGGAGCGACGCCGCGUGUGGGAAGAAGGCCUUCGGGUCGUAAACCACUGUCGAGGGGGACGAUAUUGACGGUACCCCUGGAGGAAGCCCCGGCUAACUACGUGCCAGCAGCCGCGGUAAUAC